GUGCGCUUCCUAGCCACGAAGGGAGCGCGGCGCACAGCUCAGUAGCACGUGGCUAACCUGCCCUUGGGACGGGAACAACCCCGGGAAACUGGGGCUAAUUCCCGAUAGGUGAAGAACUCUGGAAUGAGUCUUUGCCGAAAGGGCGUUUACGUCAUGCUCGUAGGCGCUACCCAAGGAUGGGGCCGCGGCCGAUCAGGUUGUUGGUGAGGUAACGGCUCACCAAGCCUAUAACCGGUGCGGGCCGUGAGAGCGGGAGCCCGGAGAUGGGCACUGAGACAAGGGCCCAGGCCCUACGGGGCGCAGCAGUCGCGAAACCUUUGCAAUACACGAAAGUGUGACAGGGUUAUCCCGAGUGCCGUCCGCUGAGGAUGGCUUUUACCCAGUCUAGCAAGCUGGGGGAAUAAGGAGAGGGCAAGUCUGGUGUCAGCCGCCGCGGUAAUACCAGCUCUCCGAGUGGUGGGGACGUUUAUUGGGCCUAAAGCAUCCGUAGCCGGCCCAGUAAGUCCUCCGUUAAAUCCAACGGCUCAACCGUU
rnacentral:rRNA from 1 species